rnacentral:lncRNA from 1 species
GGACCAGGCUUCUGAUGGAACUAUUACAAGCAUGAAGAAGAGGUGGUGAGAUGGUCCUGCUGACCCCAGGGCAGAUGGCAUUGACAAAGCUGUAUGUGGAAGGGCUUAAGGCAUACCUGGGAAGAAUGAUACAUGAAAAUGAAGGCAGGAGAUCAGUUGACAGGUCUAUGGACCAAAGAAUAGCAAGGAUUAUCAACAAGUUCCCAGAAGCCAGAGAGAAUCAGAGAAACAUCUGACUCUGUCCCCAGAAGCAUUCAACACCACUAAACAUGAUCUAGGACUUACUACAUCAGAAAUGAAAGACAACUUUCUGUUGUUUAAGACAUUCAACCUGUGGUCCUUGUUAUAGCCGUCACAACAAUAAAUACAAGUUAAAAUAUGCUGGGAAGAAACGUGAGAAGAAAACCUUGAAAUAA